GACGGAGGGGGCAAGCGUUGUUCGGAAUUAUUGGGCGUAAAGGGCUCGUAGGCGGAUCCGCCAGUCUGACGUGAAAUCUCCACCGCUCACCGGGGAGGGGCCGUUGGAUACUACGGAUCUGGAGUUCGGCAGAGGACCAUGGAAUUUCGGGUGUAGCGGUGGAAUGCGUAGAUAUUCGCAAGAACACCAGUGGCGAAGGCGGCUCACUGGCCCGGUACUGACGCUGAGGUGCGAAAGCGUGGGGAGCAAACAGG
rnacentral:rRNA from 1 species